rnacentral:rRNA from 1 species
GGAAAACAAAUAAAAAUAGUAACUUCAUCCGCUGAAUUUUCUGCACUAGAAGAGAUAAGACCAUGGACACCACAGAGCUCUGCAUCUUGCUAUGUUAAUCCAGAAAAAGAGAGCUGAGGGAAAAGAGGAAGGAAGCUAGCCAUAGAGAUGGCGGCUGAGGCGCUGGUGAGCAUCUCUACAGGGGUGAUCAACUCUGUCUUAGAGAAGCUAGCCACUUUAAUGGGGGAGCAGUACACAAAGCACAAGAGCAUGCAGCGAGAGGUGGCGUUUCUCAAGGAUGAGCUCAGCAGCAUCGAUGCUGUCCUCAAGAAGCUCGAGAACAUGGAAGAUGAACUGGAUCCACAGACCAGGGAGUGGAAGAACCAGGUGAUGGAAAUGGCGUUCCACAUCGAGGACUGCAUCGACGACUUUAUGCAUGAAUCUGGUGAGGAUUCUAACAGAGGAGGUGUUGGCUUUGUUGGCAAAAUUGCUCAGUACAUCAACGCGUUGAGAACGCGUCACCAAUUUGCCAAACAAAUCCAACAGCUGAAGACAUUGGUCAAAGACGUCAGUGAGCGCCGGAAAAGGUAUAAGCUUGAUGAGUGUGCCCCUAGUUCUAGCUAUGUAGUUGUAGAUCCUCGGGUGCCUGCCCUCUACACAGAGGCGGACAACCUUGUUGGCAUGGAGGGUCCAAAAGAGGAGCUUAUCAAAUUGUUGACGGCCGGGGGGACUGCAUCUGUCCAGCCUCCUAGAGUGGUGUCUAUUGUUGGGUUUGGGGGUCUAGGAAAAACCACACUUGCAAAUCAAGUAUACCAUGAGCUUGGAGAGCAAUAUGACUGCAAGGUUUUUGUGUCCAUAUCACAAACACCUAAUAUGAUGAAGCUUCUCGGUAGGAUCAUCAAAAAACUUAAGAUGCCACAACCAACCCAUACAGACAAGGCGCAAGAUCUCAUUGACACCAUCAGAGAACAUCUAAGAGAAAAAAAGGUACUUUUUCAUCAUUGACGAUAUAUGGGACGAAUCAGUAUGGAAAAUUAUUCGUUGUGCGUUUCCAAAGAACCAACAAGGUAGCAAAGUAAUCACAACCAUGAGGAUCGAGACCGUAGCUAAUGCAACCUGCAACGAUCACCAUGAGUUCAUUUACAAGAUGAGUCCUCUUAAUGAUCAAAACUCAUGAAAAUUAUUUUUCAGUAUAGUUGGACAGGUUAAUCUUCCGUCAUUAGAAGAGAUUUCGAAUGAAAUUCUAUAAAAAUGUGGUGGUCUCACGCUUGCUAUUAUCAGUAUUGCUAGUCUUUUGGUCAGUCAGCCAACUAGAUCAAUAGAGCAAUGGAAGAAUGUGUGCAAUUCUUUAAGCUCAAAUCUGAGAACAAAUCAGACUUUGGAGGGGAUGAGACAAGUAUUGAACCUUAGCUACAACAAUCUUCCUCGUCAUCUCAAAUCAUGCUUGCUAUCUUUUGAGGCAAUGGGUGGCUUAAGGUUUCAUCCCGAAAGUACAUGGCCAGGAUGCAAAUAAGGUCGCUGGAAUUACUUUAAUGAGCUCGUCAAUAGGAGCAUGAUCAAACCUACAAAAAUUUGGUAUAACAGGCAGGUCUUGGAAUGUAAUUAUGAUUCUUGAUCUAAUUAGACACAACUCAGAAGAAGAGAAGUUUCUUAGUGCGGUAGAUGAUCUACACGGCAUGAUCUCAGCAUUGCGGAGCAAAGUUCAUCGAAUUUCCGUUCAGUUGGAAUAUGGAGCAAAUGAAGGCACAGUAGAAGCAAGCUUAAGCAUGCCGCAUAUUCGAUCUCUUGCUCUUUUUGGCAAGUCCCGUUUCAUAUUUUCUAUGUAUGAACUCAAGUCCAUCCGGGUUCUGAAUGUGGAUUGUCAGGGUGCUCGUAUGGGUGAUAGGAUUGACCUCACACCAAUAUGUACAUUAUUUCAUCUCAGAUAUUUGAGCAUCAGCAUCCCCGAGGAACAGACGGCAACCCUUAUUCUGCCAACCCUAAUCGGGGACCUGAAACAUUUGGAGACAUUGAAGUUGGAUAUGGAUAUUACUGCCAUGCCAUCUGAUAUUGUUGAUUUGCCUUGCUUGUUGCAUCUACGUGUUCCUAUUGGAACAAGGCUACCUGAUGGAAUUCAUAGGAUGAGGACCUACGUACUCUGAUGAACUUUGAUUUGCACAUGAAUUCGGUGGAUAAUUUAACAGGCCUUAGUGAACUUAGAAAUCUCAGGUCUCUUAAUUUCUGCUGCGAUCAUGCUGAACAUACCACCAGCCAACAUGGAAUUCACAUGGACAUUUUCUGGUGUUCUGUGGCCAAACUUCUCUGUUGCAAUCUGAGAAAUCCUGGAUCUGCUAGUAACAUAUUUUGUCCUCCAUCUGUUGAGUUGGCUUCUCUGAUCACUAGCAAUAGUGAGAGCAAUCUUAUGGAACUCCAUGUUGCAGCAACUUGGAUGUUUCCGAGGGUGCCAAUUUGGACUGGUCAAUUCCAAAAGCUCUCCACGUUAGGAAUUUGUGUUGAGAAGAUGAUGCCGGUGGACUUUGAUUUGCUAGCAGGGUUACCUAAUCUACUGCACCUGUGGUUGUGGAUACGAAAAUCCCCAGAAAUGAGGAUUAUCAUCCAUGGUGGUGCGAUGGCAUUCAAGCUUCUAAAAUAUUUGAGAAUCACGUGCUUCGCUCCCUGCCUAACCUUCAUGGCAGGGGCAGUGUCUGAACUCCAAACCUUGGAACUGGAUAUCCAUGAGGACGGGGGGGAGCGUCAUGGCCCCUCGACCAUUCAGGGCGUGGAGCACCUGUCGAGACUCAGGCAAGUUGAUGUUUAUAUUCACUUUGAGGGAGCUGAUACAGAGUCACAAAGAAGGGCUGCCGACGCGGAGGCUAUCUUGAAGAAUGUCAUCAGCGUCUAUCCAGGACACCCGAGCAUCAACAUCAGGCCUACAGAUAACAGAAACUCUCUUUGUAAGAUCCAUGAACUUUCCAGUGACACUUCUGAUAGGGACGAAGAGGCGGAAAGGCAAGGUAAUGAUCCAGUUGAUCGAUCUGCCGAGGCAGCCACGCAUGCUCCAGCCGCCGUUGCUGAUGGAUCAACAAGGAAUUCACGGUAGGGGCCGGAGCCGUACACAACCAACAUGCAUGGAACACUGGUCAAGCUCUCCACAGAUUUCGCACUACACUUCCAAGGAUUCAUUUCAAGUGUCAGACCAUUUCCAUGGUAGGAUAGAGACUGAAGUUGCGGCGAUUACCUGAUGAUCUGCUUCUGUUAAGACCAGCGGUGGCGGAGAGGCACGCGAGCACUGACCUGAAGAAACUGAAGAGGAAAACAGAGCAUCGGGUCAUUAACAGAGUAUUGAGUAAACCGUAAACGGCACAGGCAUUGCUAAUGCCAGUUUACUAGGGAGAUGAAAUACCGAUGUAUAGAGACGUUUUUGGGGUAGUUUGAAAGACUAGUUCUGGAGUCAAUACCCCUAUAAAUUAGUACAGGCCUAGUGUGAAGAAUUGUUCUAAUUUUUUUUUACAAGAGUGUAAUAUUACUGAACUCCCAAGCAGGCCUUAUUGGUGUACAGCAUGAUACAGGGUAAAUUACUUAGUACAGGUGUAGACCUCUACACAAGAUUAGGAUGACGGACGUGAUAGCUGAAGUUUGGGCCAUAUCGGCUGACUUCCAAAUUUACUCUAAGUAGGAAGACCAUACUACUUCAGAUUUAACAACUUGAUUAGGGUGGCAUGCAUGUUGUGGCCCAGCUAUACGCUAGUUGAGCAUUAACACAUGGGAAAAUCUG